rnacentral:lncRNA from 1 species
CAUAACGGAGCUACCUAAACCCUAACCUUGAAGGUCUAAAAUAUACUAUAUUUCAUUUAGAAUAGUAUGGCAAUUGAUGAUAGUUACUAUAUUGAUGAAUGGGAAAAGGAGGAAAAUGGAGAGGUGAGGAGCAGGAGGGGAGGAGAAGGAAGGAGGAAAGAUAGAAGUAUGGAGGAAAGGAAGGAGGAAUGGAGAGAGAGACCGGGGAUGGGAGGGAAGGAGGAUGUAACUAAUAUUCAUAGUAAGAGAAGUAAUAUAUACUGUAUUUUGAAGGAUUGUGAACAUGACAACAAAUUCUUUUUGUUAUAAAACAUCUAAAACCUUUAUAAUUUGGAAGGAACAUGUAAAUUAGUAAGUUAGGUUGAUACAUUAAACUUUAUCCUCUUUAUAUAUGAAAGAUUGAUAUUUUAACUUUUUCACACAUAUUAAAAAGUUAAGUACACUAUUUUGUUUAUUACUUUUUAGUUUUAUCAAUAAAUUUUCAUCACUCAUAGUUUUAUAUUUUAAUUUUAAAAACUAAAAUAUCAAUCUAAAUUGAUUACUUUUAAUUUAUAUUUUAAUUUUAAUAAUAAAUGCAUUAAUUACUUUCUAAAACAUCUAUUUUUCAAAUACAAAAUAAAAUUUAAAACAUCAAUCAUGCAAAUAAGAAGGGAGUGUAUAAAAUAUAUUGAAAACGUUUAUGAGAAACCUACAUUCAGAUUCAGAUUUUCAGAGUAUUAUGUAUUGUUAGAAGUGAAAAAUAUAUGAGGUAACUUGCGUGAGGAAAAAUGUUCAACAUCGGAUCUGAUGUAAAGAAAAAAUAAGUUUCACAAUAUAUUUUAAAUGGAAAUUGCAUCUAGCAGCUGAGAAAAAAACCAAAAUUCACAAAAUGACUAAAAUCUCAUUAUUUCUCCCCUUCUUUCUUUAUAUCUCUUUCUACUCUCUCUCUUAAAAACUAAUUGGGACAAUUUGUUGAAUAUUCAUAAGGAACACUAAAAUGAAGAAUAUAGUCAUUCUACAGCAAAAACUCAUCGAUGUGACAAGUUCACCUAAAAUUGUCCGUAAUAGCCUCCGAAGCGCGUGUGCGUGCAAAUGACUCCAAUGCACUUGAUAUACUAUACUAUAUAAAAUGUAAUAUAGUCUCAAAAGACAACUAUACUUAUCUCUUCCCACAUUGCAAAUGUUUUAUCGCAAAAAACAUUACACGUGGAGUAUAACAGUUGUGAAGAUGUAUAGUACUCUAAAAGAAGAAGCUGAGAGAAGAAAAGAAUAAAGAUGAUGAUGAAGAAUAAAAAACAAAAAAGAAGAAGAAAUAUUGUAUUAUACUACACUUUUACAAUAAUCACACGAAUAAUUUCUUUCUUACUAUACUAUAUUUCAUUUAGAAGAGUAUGGCAAUUGAUGUUGGUUACCAACAUAAUGAAAUACAACCAAAUAAACCCUAAACCCGCUACCUAAACCCAAACUCUAAACACUAAACCCUAAACCCAAACUCUAAACUCUAAACCCAAACGGUAGACCCUUAAACCCUAAACCCAAAUCGUAUACCCUAAACCCAAACCGUAAACCAUAAUAGAGCUACCUAAACCCUAAACCAAAACUCUAAACCAUAAACCCAAACCCUAAACACAAAUUCUUAACCCAAACCAUAGACCUAAACGGAGCUACCUAAACCCUAAACCCCCCUAAACCCAAAUUUUAAAUCCUAAACCCAAACCAUAAACCCUUAACCCAAACCCUAAACUCAAAUUGUAAAACCAAACCAUCGCCCAUAACGGAGCUACCUAAACCCUAACCUUGAAGGUCUAAACCCUAAACCCAAACCGUAGACCCUAAACCCAAACCCUAAACCCAAAACCCCCCUAAACCCAAACUCUAAACCCUAAACCCAAACCCUAAACCCAAAACCCCUCUAAACCCAAACUCUAAACCCUAAACCCAAACCGUAAACCCUUAACCCAAACCCUAAACCUAAAUUGUAAAACCAAACCAUCGCCCAUAACGGAGCUACCUAAACCCUAACCUUGAAGGUCUAAAAUAUACUAUAUUUCAUUUAGAAUAGUAUGACAAUUGAUGAUAGUUACUAUAUUGAUGAAUGGGAAAAGGAGGAAAAUGGAGAGGUGAGGAGCAGGAGGGGAGGAGAAGGAAGGAGGAAAGAUAGAAGUAUGGAGGAAAGGAAGGAUGGAGGAAAGGAAGGAAGAAUGGAGAGAGAGAGAGACAGAGAGAGACCGGGGAAGGGAGGGGAGGAGAGAAAGAGUAGGAGGGAGUGUAAGAGUGAAAGCGACAUAGGAGGAAACUAUACUAUUUUGAUGAAUAGAUUAGUAUACUAUAAUGUAAUGUUUAUUCAAAUAUUGUAUGAAAGCUAUAUAAACUGUCAAUACAAACAUGUAUGUGAAUCUCCAUUAACUUAGAGCAUUCAUUCAAUACAAUAGCAAAAUAAGAGGCGAAGGAGAUACAAUUUGUCAAAGAGAAAGAGGAGAAUUGUAACAUACUAUACUGUGAUUAUAAAAUAGAAUAAAAUAUAUUACACAAAAUUAUUGUUCAUCUUCCCUAGUUCAAUCCAUCAUCUGAUUCUUGAUCUUCUUAAACCCAUUAAAACUGGAUCAAGCAAAAAUAAAAUAAACGGUGGUUCCAAUGUAAGUGGAGCAUACUAUACUGUACUUGAAAAUUAGUAUGGAAUACAUGACAUAAGAUACUGUUCUUCUUCCCCAAUUCAAUCCAUCACAUUGUUUUUCAUAUUCUUAAAGAUAUUGAUUCACAUAUUUAUCUCACGGUAACCGAAAUUGUUGCUUGACCCCCUGAUUCUAUUCAAUCAUGCCAAAUUUACCGAGAUUCAGCUGGUUCUUCGGUAGUCGUGCCAUCAAGAACUUUUGAUCUCUAUUGCAAUCCUGAAAGUGAUUUUCCUAUUUCUACGAACACUCUGUAAUUGUCGCUCUCUGAUGUACCUCUUUUCUGUUCUCCAGCUGCUGCUCAAAAUCUUUUUUUCCUAUUAGUUUCAUGAAGCAAAACACAAAGAUAUAUUUUUUCUUUUCACGCGCGGUUAAGGUCAUUAUUGUCCAAUUUCACAAUAAUAUGUAUUAUAUGGUAGCCUAAAUGUUGUUAUGUGUAUAUUCUUAAUUUUUGAUAUGUUAUGGACAUGGCUCCUAAUUCCCAAAAUAGGAAUACAAAAAAUCAUUUUAAUAACAUGAAUACAUUCAAGUUCAUACAAUCUUACCAUAUAACACAAAACAUCUAAAUCAAACAAGCUAAACAAAAUACUUGAUCAAAGAAAGCCAAGCGAAAUAUUUUAAAAUAUACAAGAAGACUGAAAAUUUUUAAUGUUUGUUUGUGGUUUUGUGAUACUUGUCUUUCACCCAACGAAAACCCAUGGCAGAGCCAGACUUGAGUUUCUUAAAACCAGAAGAAGCUACAGAUUUUGUCUUGUCUAGACCCUGUCCAAAUUUCUCCUUGUACUUAGCAGUGUUCGAGUUCGAUGCAGCUCCACCUCCACUACUUUUGACGACGGCACCACCGCCAAUACGACCUCCUUUGGCGCUAUUGUCCCACUGGUCAGCCCACGAUGCUCCGUUCAUUAUAUAUCCUCUCUGAAGCUUUAUAUCACAGAGAUGUAUUGGUUUUGUAUUUUACACAAACUAAAGGAAAUUUGAUCUUCAAGUUUGUAUUGUGAAUGUCUCUCAUUUUUCUCGGUUGUGUUUAAAUACGCAAACGAUUGCAUACUCUAAAAGAACGCGUGUUCUGCGGUCAAACCUUGUGUCCGUGAACAACAACAAUGACUUCGUUUAAUUUGCUUCUUCUUGAAUGAUUUAUUUCUAAUUGUCAGCAAUCUUCUGGAAGAUUAAACAUUAUUCUAUUCUAAUAUAUAAAAUAAUUUCUCGUGGAAGAAUGCUAGUCUUACUCAUAUAUUAUAGAGAAUCAUGUAUGUACGCACCUAUUGAGGAAGCUUCUUCAAAUUCGCCCCAAGCAAGACCCACCCUUAUAGUCAAAUAUUUGACUUAUCCAAAGUGGUUUCUAAUUUCUUCCAGAACAAAUGAAUACCAAUUUUUUAAAUAGAGAGAGAUUUCAAAAUCGAGGAGAAGUGUGAAAAUAAAAUUCAAAAUAGUAACGAUAAAAAAUUGCUCUGUUUUCCGGUUUACGAGAAUCUAAGCCGGGCUUGAUCCAAUUGUGAUUUGGUUGGACAACAGUUAAAAACGGUGUCGUAUGGCUCUCUGAAUAGGAGUGCAACUAUGAACUGUCAUAACUCAUAUGCUCCAAGGCAAAUUACUCUCCAGCAAAACUUAAAAUUAGACUCUUUUUCAGGGGCGGACCCACAGUAGGGUGGCGUGUGGCACGUGCCACAUACUAAAACUAUAUAUAUCUUACGCACAUAUAUAUCAGCUAGAUAUCAUUAGUUCUUUUGGUUAUAAGACUCACAGCUGUGCCCCACGGUCUACGCUUCACGAGUUCAAAUCCCUCCUAUCUUAUUCUGUUUUUCUUUGUGUAGUGUUUUAGUUUAACUCAAAGUUCAAGGGUGAAACCAGACACAAAGCUUAUGUUAACACAAUAAUUUUAUUCUAUACAUUUUUUAUUUUACUCACUUUUCAUAUAUAUAUAUAUUCUUUUUAAUUGUGUUGCGGACUUUUUUAUGAGUGAUUUUCUUUUCUUUAGUAUAUAGUUUUUCGAAAAUAAAAAAUUGUGAACUUUAUUUUGUUAUUUAUUUUUAUUUAUUUAGUAUUUAUUAAUUAUAAUAUUUAGAUUAAUAACUAUAUCUAAUAAGUGUUUAUAAUGAAACUAUAUGUGUAAUAUAUAAUUUUAUCUUAACACUACUCAAAUAAAUACUUAAUAUUAUAAAAUGCUUAUCUUUUGUUAAUAAUAUUUAGUUUAAAUAUUUCAAUAAAUAAGAUGUAAUAAUUAAUUUUUAAUGUCAUUUAUUUUAAAAUUAUUAUAUACUUUAUUUAGUAAAUUAUAUCUAAUAUUUUUGUAAAUAAUAUAAAAUAUAUAUUGUGACCCAUGUUAAUUUAUUUUCUAGAUCCACCCCUGUCUGUAAAUAUAAAUAUAAUAUGUUAACAACCUUACUACUUCAGCUAGUUUCUCUAAUCGACAUCUUAUUCCCCAGAUGGAUCAAUGCAAUUGAUGAUAGGACCUUACUUGUGAAUCAAGGAGCAUCAUCAUCUGGCACCAGCGUACCUGUAAAACUCUAGGGCUUGGAGAGGGUUUGCGUGACUAAACCAAACACGGUGUGGGAGAGACGAGACAUAACUUAACCAAACCGCAAUUGUUUCAACUAAUAAGACACAUUGAACCGGAAUCACACCGAGCUUUCUUCACUCGUUCCGUUUGGUGAAUAAUUUGAACCACGUCCAACAUAUCAAAUAUAGGGUGCGAUCGUACCGGCACUAAUGCACUGAAUCCCAUCAGAACUUUGUAGUUAAGUGUGGUUGGGCUAGAGUGUUACUAGGAAGGGGUUAUUGGUUGUUGUAUUUUAAUGAAUUUGAAAAUCCGAACUAAAUCUAGUUUUAUUGGUUCUAUGAUUUUCAAAUCUGUAUUAAAAUAAUGUGUUAUUGGUUUAAUGAUUCAUAAAUUCUGUAUCAAAUCAAGUGUUAUUCAAUCGUACGAAUUUACUAAUAUAUUUGAUUUUAUAAUGGAUUUGUUUGGAUUUUUUAGUUAAAAAUACAAAGACUCAAAUCCGAGGAAAAACCUCUGGAUUUGCAUAUUUUACUUGGAUUUAUAAAUACUAUAUGGAUUUCUAAAUCAAUCAAAAUAUAUAAACCAAUAACAGACUUCCCGGGAAGUCAUCGUGUUGCACCUUUAAAAAAAAAUCUAAAAAAAAACAUAUCAAAUAUAGAAAACCCCACGAUACUUUUUCAUGCAACUUGGCCCGUUAUUCUCUAAAAGGAAACAACAGAACUAAAGUGUUUAUUAGUUCCAGAAAGGAGAAAAUAGAUAUCAAAUUGUUUCUUGUGAACCAAGAAUAAGAUUUUGAUGAAAUUAGAUAAACUAGAAUCAAAAACGAACCUGAUCAAAAAAGGAUUAGAGAAUUUUUAAACGUGAUUCUUUACUUAUCUAGAUUACAGAUGAAUCUAAAGGUUAAAUGGUUUAGAUCAUUAAAAAGGAAAUAAUGUAGAAAAAGAAAAAACUUAAAAAAUGAAAAAAUAGCAUCCGUAAAACCUUAUAAAAGGAGGGUUAAGCUAUUCUAUUUUAUUUCAUUCACACAUUCAUAACGCUUGCUUUCUCAUUCAGCUAAUUCAAGAUUUGCUUCGAAAACUUUCUCUCUUCGAUCAUACUUGUUUGGUCUUUUUAUAGAUAAUGGCGAUCAGAACAAGAAGAAUCUUCAGCUUCGUGUUUGCGAUGAUGAUGAGCAUCAUGGUUCUCUCAGGUUGCUGCUCAGCGAGGGUCUACAAAGUCGGAGACUCCGAGGGAUGGACUGCUAAGGACGACGUCUACUACUCUUGGGCCGAGACCGACUAUAAGGAGUUCCACGUGGGAGAUUCACUUGUCUUUGAAUACGACCACAUCAUCAACGACGUGACUCAUGUCUCCGGUGCUUUAGAAUACGAGUUAUGCGACUAUUCUUUUCCUAAAGCCGUUUACAACACAGUACACGAUGCCGUGACUCUCACGGAACCAGGUGACAGACACUCGAAGUUCUUGUCGUCCGAGACCCUUCACGUCCGGUUCCUCCACCGCAACCUACCAAGAUUCUUCCUGUCGGAAAUAUCUACAAAGUCGGAGACUCAGAAGGAUGGAAAGUCUACGAUAGCGACUUUUAUAAUAAGUGGAGUGAGGAGAAACAGUUUCAUGUUGGAGAUGGUCUGCUUUUCGAAUACGCCAACGAAGUCUACGAAAUCAGCGGUGAUCUAGAAUUCAUCACAUGCGAUCCAACGUAUCCUGUAGCUGUGCACGAUCUUGUUAGACUUACGGAACCAGGUGUUCAUUAUUUUAUAACCUCACAAUCUGGUUAUUGCGAAGCUGAGCUUAAGCUUCGAGUGAUGGUGGGACCAGUACCUAAAGCUGUUACUUACCAUAAUUUUCCCAAGAAGGUGGACUUGUCAGCUAUGGAUCGCCUCAACAACUGGUUAAAGACGUUCACACACCAACCCCAUCAUUAACCCAUUCUAUUUUUUAAUCUUGUUUAAGAUUUUUAACCAGCGUAGAGUUAUUGUUUCUCUCUCUCUCGUCUGUUGUUUAGCAUCUUUAGUGCUUUGUUUUAAGAGUACUUGUCUACCACAAUCGUUGUAGAGUUUAUUUCAUUCGAGGAGUAUUCAAUAAAAUUUCAUGUUGAACCCUUUAUUCUUGCAUAAGGGUUUGUAAUAGAAAACAUUAGUUUCUCUUUUAAAAUAGACAUAUCAGUUAAAAACACAUACAUUAUAACAAGUCACACAACACUCUACUUCACUUAAAAAAGUCAAAACCUCUCUUUGAGUUGGAGUGAGCUUCCACUGCAUGCCAUCAGCAUUGAAUCGCACCACAAUCUUCCGAUAUAUACGAGAAAAACAUGAUAAGAGUACGGUAAGCAACCAAGUUGACCAUAAUGGUGUUCUUUCAGUGACGAUAGCAAAUCGUGCAUUCAAUCAAAACACAGAUGCUGCAAUCAUCCCUGCUCCGCUUUCUCUCAACCUUUCUAUGUCCCUUAAUCUUAACGAACAAUCCAACGCAAGACAUUCGGCUUUCACAAUGCUGCCAAGCUUCAGUGACGGAGAUAGCAUUAUCAGAGUUGCUUAGACCUAAAAGUCAAGGUGAACCUACAAGACCUUUGUUUCUUUCUUUAGGCCUUACUUUGUCAGAGAAAAAAAAAAUAAUCAGGGGAAUGAAAAGAACAUGAUGGAGGAACUUGUUAAUCUAUUUCAAGACCAAGACCUAAUUUAGAUUUGACUUAAUUCAAUCCUAACAUGAUUCUAAAGAAGGUAGGAAUACUAACCUUGAUCCAUGCUUGGAUGCAAUCCCACCAAUUGAUGUUCUCCUCUUUAACCUUUUUUCUUUGGUGAUUUCCUUGAUGGACAAGAAACCCCAAACCUUCCUUUAAUCUCUCCUUCAAUAAUCAGUAUUUUUCUUGUGUAUCUUUUAGAAAGACUCUCGUCUUACGUGAAGAAGAAAAUGAUGAACGAGUGUUGUGUUUUAUAUUAGUCAAAGAGACAUGAGUCUUAACCAACACAACUCUCUAAGACUUCAUCACAACCAUUCGUUAUAUUAACGGUACCACAACGUACGUAUACUGAUAUAUAUAUUAAUAAUGGUAAUGUAUUCCAUUAUCAUUACCUUUAACAUAUAUAUAUGAUUAUGAGAUUAAAGACAUAUUUAAACAUAAGGUAAAGUAGGAGGGUUAUCAAUACACCCGGAUUCUAAUUCUUAAUCGAAACCGAUCCAUCACGGUAUCGUCUUUUAUAUUAGAAUCUAAAACAAUAAUAUGAACUUGAACUUUAUAUUAAACUAAUAGAUACAUAGGUCAUAUAGAAUAUAAAAUAUUCUUACAUUCUCCCACUUGACCUUUGUAUCAACUUAAGAGUUUAAUAACUUUAAUGCGCACUUUUAUAUCAAGUUCACUUGAUCUUUAUUAAAAUUUAAAUUGAUCGAAUCAUGGCGGUUGUAUGUCAUUUAAUCGGCAUAGUCCCUUCCAUGUAUCACAUAAUCAAUUUUAAUUUUAUAUCAAUCCUUAUAUGAGAAGAACUUUUAUUUCUCAAACCAAACAUAUGUUAUCUACAAACCAUAAGUGUAUACACAUACUUUAUUGAUAACAUAAUUAAUAAAUCAGAAACAUAAUCUUUAAGUGAAUUCUUAGUGUCAAAUACAUAAUGAGCAUCCCAUAACUAAAAUAGCAAAGCCUUAUCUAUAAUACCCAUACGUUCUACAUGGCCAUUGAACGCCUUGGGUGGUAAACCUUUAGUUAGCGGAUCCGCUACCAUCAUGUCCGUCCUUAUGUGCUCGAAUGACACUCUCUGUUUCUGAACUUCUUCUUUAACAGACAGGUACUUUAACUCCAUGUGCUUAGCACCCUUCGAGUACUUGUCGUUCUUUGAAAAGAAGACAGCUGCAGAAUUAUCGCAGUAAAUUCUCAGCGGCUUGGCUAUAGUGUCGACAAUCCGAAGCCCUGAGAUAAAGUUCCGCAGCCAUAGUGCAUGAAUUGUGGCCUCAAAGCAUGCCACAAAUUCAGCCUCCAUAGUGGAAGUAGCAAUGACAGACUGCUUUCCACUCUUCCAUGAUAUUGCUCCCCCAGCUAAUAGGAACAAGUAGCCAAACGUCGAUUUUCUGCUAUCAACGCAUCCGGCAUAGUCUGAAUCUGAAUAUCCAAUGACUUCCAGCUGAUCAGAUCUCCUAUAUGUAAGCAUGUUCUCUUUGGUGCCUUGCAAGUACCUGAGAACCUUCUUUGCAGCUUUCCAGUGGUCCAUUCCGGGAUUACUUUGAUAUCGACCCAACAUUCCAACAGCAAAGUUGAUAUCAGGUCGAGUACAUGUUUGAACAUAGUUCAAACUCCCAACCACCGAUGCAUAGGGAAUUCUUUCCAUUUCUUUACGCUCCAAUUCAUUUUUAGGACAUUGCAUUUUACUGAACUUGCCCCCAUUCUGAAUUGGAGUUAUUCCUGCAGAGCAUUUCUCCAUUUUAUAUCUCUUUAAGAUCUUAUUGAUAUAUCCUUCCUGUGACAAACUUAACAUUCCUUGUGAUCUAUCUCGAAAUAUUUCUAUCCCGAUCACAUAAGAUGCCUCACCCAUAUCUUUCAUUUCAAAGUUCUUAGAGAGAUACUUCUUCACAUCAUGUAACAUACUCAUGUCAUUUGCAGCAAGCAAAAUAUCAUCAACAUAUAGGACUAAAAUCACAAACUUACUCCCACUGAUCUUAAUGUAGAUACAUCGAUCAACAAUGAUCUCUACAAAACCAUAUGAUGUGAUGGUAUCGUUAAACUUUAUAUACCAUUGUCGAGAAGCUUGUUUUAGUCCAUAUAUUGACUUUCUCAGCUUACACACCAAAUUUUCUUUUCCUGUGACCACGAAUCCUUCUGGUUGGUCCAUAUAUACUUCCUCCUCAAGAUCUCCAUUCAGAAAGGCGGUUUUCACAUCCAUCUGGUGAAGCUCAAGAUCAUAAUGAGCCACCAAAGCCAAAACAAUUCUAAGAGAAUCCUUCUUUGAAACCGGAGAGAAGGUCUCUUUAUAGUCAAUGCCAUCUUUCUGGGUGAAACCUUUAGCAACAAGGCGAGACUUGCGUCUUUCAGGUUUACCUUUCGAGUCACGUUUAGUCUUAUAGACCCAUUUACAACCAAUGGUUUUGAAACCAUCAGGCAACUCUACUAAGUCCCAUACAUGAUUAUCAUCCAUAGAUUUCAUUUCUUCUUUUGAGGCAUCAAACCACUCUUCAGAAUUGUCACUUUCCAUGGCCAUUUUGAAUGAGAUCGGAUCGUCAUCCAUGCUUAAGUCACAUUCAUUUUCAAUAGUGUAAACCACGUAAUCGUUUGAAAUGGCAGAUCUUCUUUCUCUUCCAGAUCGCCUUAAAGGUAUUUGUGGUUCACUAUUCUCUUCUUGAAUUAUGACAUGUUCAUCAACAGUAUUUUCAGCUAGUGGGAUUGGCUCAUCAUUAUGUUGUCCUAUUGUGUCAUUAGAGUCUGAUGCAACAAUAGGAACAACUACUUCAGGUGGAACUACAGGUGAAGGAACUUCAACCUGAACUUCAUUAAUGUCCACUUUUCGUGGUUCACCACUCCCACUAGUUUCACCGUUUUCAAUGAACCUAGCAUUACCCGAAUCAACUAUUCUCGUACUAUGGUUAGGACAAUAAAAUGUAUACCCCUUUGAUUUUUCAGGAUAGCCAAUGAAAAAUCCACUGACAGUCCUAGAAUCAAGUUUCUUUUCUUGUGGAUUAUAUAGCCUUACUUCUGCUGGACAACCCCACACACGUAGAUGUCUUAAACUAGGUUUCCUUCCCGUCCACAGCUCAUAAGGAGUCUUAGGAACUGCCUUACUAGGAACCCGGUUCAGCACAUACGUUGCAGUUCUUAAUGCAUAUAUCCACAAAGAAAGGGGUAAUGAGCAAUUACUCAACAUGCUCCUAACCAUCUCUAUUAAGGUACGGUUCCGCCUCUCAGCUACACCAUUCUGCUGAGGAGUACCAGGCAUUGUGUAUUGUGCACAUAUGCCCCUACUUUCAAGUAAUUUUGCAAAUGGACCAGGACAUUGUCCACUUUCAUCGAAUUUUCCAUAAAAUUCACCACCUCUAUCAGAUCUCACUAUUUUAACCUUUUUAUCUAACUGCCUUUCCACCUCGUCAAUGAAUACUUCUAGAACAUUCACAGACUUAGACUUUUCAUGCAGUAGAUAGGUAUAUCCAUACCGUGAGUAAUCAUCAAUAAAUGUGAUGAAAUAUUUUUCGCCACUCCAUGAAGGAGCAUCAAAAGGGCCACAUAUAUCGGUGUGUAUUAACUCAAGAAGCUGAGUGCUUCUUGUGGCUGGUUUCUUUAAAGUAUGUUUCGUCUGCUUUCCCUUAAUGCAGUCUAUGCAUACAUCUAAGUCACUGAAAUCCAACUGAGGAAGAAUUUCAUUCUUUAUUAACCUCUUAAUUCUUUCUUUGGAAAUAUGACCUAGUCGUUGAUGCCACAAGAAAGCAGAACUUUCAUUAAUUGCGCUACGCUUAAUGCCUCGACUUUCAACAUUAAAUAGGGAUUCAGAAAACUUUGCAUCAAGGUUGAACUUAUAAAGUGAAUCAAAUAAAAUACCACUACCAUAAAAGUAAUCAUUUCGGUACAAUGUGAAAACACCAUGUGCAACCUUAAUACUAAAACCUAAAUUGUCCAACCUACUAACAGAAACAAGAUUUCUAGCACACUCAGGUACAUAGAGACAUCCUUCAAGAUCCACAUGACUUCCAGUGUCCAAGAUCAAUCUAUACGUCCCAAUUCCUUCUAUUUGUGCCUUCAUCCUGUUUCCCAUGAACAAGUACUGUUCAGGUCCUCUUAUGGGCUGGAUCGAACUGAAUCCCUGUUUAAUAUGAGACACAUGAGUAGUAGCACCAGAAUCUAACCACCAAGUAUUAUUAGGAACUUCAACAAGAUUCAUUUCAUAGCAAACAAAGCUGUAAUGUUUACCUUUCUUGUCGAACCAAUCCUUCCUUUUAGGACAAUCCUUCUUGAAGUGUCCUACUUGCUUACAAAAGAAACACUUCUUUUCCUUCUGGAUUUGACUUUGAGGUCCUUUCACGAAGUUUUUAGCAUUCCUUUUGCCUUUCCUACUUGAUGUUCUUUUGCUGCUACUGGCACUUCCAAGACCUACGAGGUUAGCAACUUGAUCUUUCAUCUUCCUUAAUCUCCCCUCCUCUUGAAUUAGCAUAGCCUUUAAUUCCUUAAAGUUCCAUUUAUCCUUAAUGGUGUUGUAAUUCACCUGGAACUGGCUAAAUUCAAGAGGUAGAGAGUUCAUGAUGAAUUGGACCAAGAAUUGCUCAUGUACCUCCAUUCCCAAGGUCGUUAACUUUGCUGCCAGAUUAGACAUGUGCGUCAAAUGAUCAUGGAUUGGCUGAGACCAGUCAAACUUCUUUGUAGUUAGCUCAUUCAUGAGACUUCCUACAAUCGACUUGUCAGCCAAUUCCGAUUGUGAACACUCCUUAAUUUUCUCUAUGAAUUCCCUUGCUUUCUCUGUCUUAGGCAUUGAUGGCUUAAUACUUUCUGCCAUCGUCAACCUCAUAAGGUUCAAGCUCAGCCUGUUAGAUCGCUCCCAUCUCUCAUAACGAGACUUUUCAGAUUCGGAGCUAUCUACUGUAAUAGCUGAGGGUUCCUCAUCAGUUAGUAUGGCAGAGUCCAAAGCCAUUACACCCAGUGUAAACCGGAUUUGCUCGAACCACUCACCAUAGUUGAGGCCAUUAAACUUUACAACAGAGUUAGCAGAUGCAAACACAUUUGAUGAAGCUGCAAGCAUUCAUACAUGUUUACCCGUUAGUGCUUUGAGACUUUAAUAUAUAUUCAGACUAAUAGAAACUUUUAACACUUAUAUUUUAAAUAACCUUUGGGCAAUAUUUAAAUAUAAGUACUUUCAUUGAUGCUAAUUAUAUAUUCUUUAAUAUUAAUCAAAUCAACACUAGUCAAAUAAAUAUGUUAUCUUUGGAUAUACAUAUUAUUCACUAUAGUAGAAAAAUGAUUAAUUAUUUUCUUAUUAUUAAUUAUAUUCAAUGAUCCACCUUUGGGUGAUCUCCUAGAAUAUAAAUAAUAAUUUAAUUGAUCAAUCAAAUUUUUAUGUCAUUUAGCAUCCUUGAUCUUGAUCAAUUAUAAACUUUAUAAUUAUUUUUAAUAUCUAUAUGUCAUAUAACAAGGUCACUUUGGUGACUAUCAUAUUAUAUACAUAUAAACUUAAAAUAUCUAAGGGAAAACUACUUAAAUUGUGUUAAUAUUUCAUAACACAAUUAUUUGAUCAUUAAAAUGCAGCGGAAGCAUUUUUUUUUUUUUUACUAUUUAUUUUAAUUUAAUAAAAUAACAACUUUCUUAAUUCAAAUAUGCAUUUACUUUGAUAAAUGAUUUCUGCUUAUGCAUACUAGACAGAAUUACUUAACAGUCAUGCGUAUGCUAUCAAAUGUUAAUAAAUAACAGAAAGCACUCUUUCAUGCAUGCAACAAUACGUAACGGUUUAAUUAUGAAUCUACUCUCAUUCAUGAAUGACUUAAUUAAUAAUCCAGAUAUUUUUCAGCGCAUGAUGCCAAACGUUAAUAUUAUGAGUGCAAUUCCUUUACGGUUAUUACCGAAAAUGUAAACUUCAUGAAUUAACAAUAUUCCAGAUUUACUUUUUUUUUAACACUGAGUUUUUAUAUCAAAAUAAAAUAGUUAGAGAGUGAAGAAGAAACCCUCCACAAAUGGAGAAUCCAACAAAGAACUAACUCUAUAACUCUAUAGAAAGGAUUGAAAAAAUAUAAAAAGUAAAAGCUAUAAAGUAGCAUCAGUAGAUACCAUAAACAAUAGCUUCGCAAUAAAGACCAAGAAAACAAAAACUCCUCCCAACCACGAGCCAGCGGACGUGGAAACACAGGAGACUGAUUUCUUCAUGAGGCCAAGCACCACACACCUCUAGGGUUUUCGUCGCAGCCGUCAACCCCGUUUUGCUCUGACGGCCGCCUCGUCUCGCGGUCGUCGGAGGCGCUUCCUCCCUUCUCUUUAUCAUUUUUCUUCUCUUUUUGGUGGCCUCUGUUGUCUUUUCGGUGAGAUAGAAGAUCUGCUUCGCUUAGAUCUGUGAUGGUGAAAGUGUGUGGUGGACAGUGGGGUCAGGUAUUGACUAUUCUAUUGUAUUUUCCGGUGGUAACGUUCGAGUGGCAGGGUGUGGUUAACAUCACGUUUCUGUAGUUCAGCCAUAGAGUGGAGAAAGUGUGCUUAUGAGGACUAGUUUAUUUUGGGUUUGGUGGCAACGGUUCAGUCAUGGUGUUGAUCAUAGCUUACCGCAAGUUCAAGUCCUUGGCUGAGUUUCUCCAGCUCUAGUCCAAUGGUUUGGAGCUUUGGCUCAUGUUUUAUGUAAAUCUUGGGAAGUCGCAAUAUGGACUUCUUACUCUUUAUCGAAAUGGAAGCGAAUGGUUCUUAGUGUUAUUUCUUAGUAUAGAGAUGAUUCCAGAUUUACUUAAUCAUGCAUUUUACGUUAGUUAGUUCUAAACAUUUACGAACCGACGCUACUUUCUAAUGCAUUCCAGAAUUUUAACGCAACGGCAAUCAAGAACAUACGCUUGAUCCAAUUACGGUGUCGUUAGACACGGCUUAUGAACACACAUUAAAACGGUUUGAUCCGUACAUGUUCAUAAACGCAUGAAGGUAAAUAAAUUUUUUUUUUUUUUUUUACAAACUUCAUGCACGCACUUGGUUUGUUUCGCAACUUCCGUUAACAUUUAACACAAAACAAAUUUCCAGAUGAAUUAAUCUAAUCUACAUAGGCUCUGAUACCACAUGUUAAUCUAUUUCAAGACCAAGACCUAAUUUAGAUUUGACUUAAUUCAAUCCUAACAUGAUUCUAAAGAAGGUAGGAACACUAACCUUGAUCCAUGCUUGGAUGCAAUCCCACCAAUUGAUGUUCUCCUCUUUACCUUUCUUUCUUUGGUGGUUUCUUUGAUGGACAAGAAACCCCAAACCUUCCUUUAAUCUCUCCUUCAAUAAUCAGUAUUUUUUUUGUGUAUCUUUUAGAAAGACUCUCUUCUUACGUGAAGAAGAAAAUGAGUGUUGUGUUUUAUAUUAGUCAAAGAGACAUGAGUCUUAACCAACACAACUCUCUAAGACUUCAUCACAACCAUUCGUUAUAUUAACGGUACCACAACGUAUGUAUACUGAUAUAUAUAUUAAUAAUGGUAAUGUAUUCCAUUAUCAUUACCUUUAACAUAUAUAUAUGAUUAUGAGAUUAAAGACAUAUUUAAACAUAAGGUAAAGUAGGAGGGUUAUCAAUACACCCGGAUUCUAAUUCUUAAUCGAAACCGAUCUAUCACGGUAUCGUCUUUUAUAUUAGAAUCUAAAACAAUAUAUAUACUGAUAUAUAUAUUAAUAAUGGUAAUGUAUUCCAUUAUCAUUACCUUUAACAUAUAUAUAUGAUUAUGAGAUUAAAGACAUAUUUAAACAUAAGGUAAAGUAGGAGGGUUAUCAAUACACCCGGAUUCUAAUUCUUAAUCGAAACCGAUCUAUCACGGUAUCGUCUUUUAUAUUAGAAUCUAAAACAAUAAUAUGAACUUAAACUUUAUAUUAAACUAAUAGAUACAUAGGUCAUAUAGAAUAUAAAAUAUUCUUACAGAACUGUGAUUAGGGUUCUUCAUCAUCCAUAUUCGUAUUGUUGUUUGUAAAAACUCUGUUCUAUGUAUUUUGUUUUUGGUAUGUAAGUUAAAAACAAGUCUUGAUUCUCAAGUGGCUCAUCUCAAUCAAUGGCUGGUGAUUCGUGAGGUGUUUUAAUGCUUUUUCUAUAUCUUAUCUUUUGUAGAUAAGCUAAAAUGAAUGUUGUUUCAAAAAAAAAAAAAAAAAGACUUUCGGUGGUUUCUUGGACUGUUUGCGGGCCCCACUGACACGCGGCGACCCGCGAUUGGUUCCUUUUUUUUAUUUUUAUUUUUUAUCCUUUUUAAUCAGAUAAAACAAAAAUUUUUUUUAAGAAACCAAAAGGGGUUUUGAGGGUUAAUCAUGCUAUAAUACCCUAGAUAUAUAUAAAAAUAAAAAAAAUAAAAAAAUUAUAGUUUUAGAUUAUAUGUUUUCAAAUUCGAACUUUUUUAUAAAAAAAAAAAUUUUGAAAUUUUUUUUCAAAUUUUGUUUUUUCAAAUUUUUAAUAUUUAUUUUUUAUUUUAUAAAGUUUUAAACCUCAAUCUCAAAUCCUCACCCUUUAACUCUAAACCCUAAGGUUUGGAUUAGUUAACCGUAGAGAUAUAAAUGUAUAUUUACCUCUUUAAUUAAACAUUUUUAUCAUUUUGAUCCUUAGAGUCUAUAUUUGUGGAAAAAAAAAUUAGUGCUAUCUUAGGGUAUUUCUGAAAAAUCCCAUUAAUGGAUACUAUCUCUGAAAAAUCCAAAAAGCAGAAAUAUUACUCCAUUAUUAUCUGCGGUUAACCGUUAUUUCAGGUAUUUUUGGCCUUCAACCUUAAAAAUUCAAAUUCUAUUUCCAAUAAUAGAAUACUAAAUAAUAAAUGUCAUAAACCUCUGUUUUGUCUUUUCUUCUUCUUCUGCCACCAUCAUCUCAAUCUUCAUGUGUGGCCUUUUAAGAUCAUCUUCUCUAUUCUUGCUCCUCUUUCAUUUUUCUCUGUGAUUGAUUGAUUCUAUCUUUUUUGCAAUCACAAACAAUGUCUAACCGUUCAUUCAAGAACUUCAUAGAAGAAGAACUUGGAACAUUCCCACACUUGUUCAUCUACGCUAUCCUUGAAUGGAUCAUCAUCAUCCUCCUCUUCAUCGACGGCCUCCUCGCGUUCUUCUCCAACCAAUUCGCCAGGUUCUUCAACCUCAUAACCCCUUGCCUCCUCUGCACUAGGCUUGACCAUGCUCUCGUCAAAACAAACCCUGACUUCUAUUACAACGACUCCAUCUGCGACUCCCACAAGAGGAACAUCUCUUCUCUAGCUUACUGUCAUGUCCACAAGAAACUCUCCGAGAUCAAACACAUGUGCGAAGGGUGUCUCCUCUCUUUCGCAACCGAGAAAGAAUCAGAUGUUGAUACCUACAAGUCUCUUAUUGGUAUCUUGCAUAAGGAUCUCGAGCUUCUUAUCGAUGAACGUGAGCUUCAGCUAGCGUUUCCGGUUGCGGGUUCGAAGAAGGACGAAAACUUUCACAGAACUAACAAUAGGUUGCAGAAGCAGCAAAAUUGUUCUUGCUGUGGAGAGUUCUUGAAGAUCAAAACGGAGAAACCGAAGAAUAAUAACAAUCAAUCUUUCUUUGCUGGUCCUAGUCCUUCUCCUAGAGUUUCAUUCAACCAAAGAACUUUGGACUUGUCUCAAAUCAAAUACUCAGAACUACCUGAGGGGGAAGAUUCUGUUAACAAUAAAGGUGCCUUGGGGGACACGGUUGAUGAUAGAACACCAAGUUUUGUAAAAGGAGGGAACAACAAUAGGUUCUUUGGGAUACCUCUCUCUGAUUCAGCUCUGAACAGUCCAAGAUGGUCUGUGAGAUCUAUGAAGAAGUCUCUCAUCGAUCAAAAUGGCGCGGAGAGCGAAGUAUUAGAUGGAGAUUCAAUACUUCAUCAUUUAAAGAGGCAGGUUAGAUUGGACCGCAAGUCAUUGAUGGAUUUGUAUAUGGAGUUAGAUGAAGAGAGGAGUGCUUCAGCUGUUGCGGCAAACAACGCGAUGGCUAUGAUCACGAGGCUACAAGCGGAGAAAGCUGCGGUUCAAAUGGAGGCAUUGCAGUAUCAGAGAAUGAUGGAUGAGCAAGCGGAGUAUGAUCAAGAGGCUUUGCAGUCUAUGAAUGGUUUGUUGGUUAAGAGAGAAGAGGAUAUGAAAGAGCUUGAAGCUGAAAUUGAAGCUUAUAGAUUGAGAUACGGAUUGUUGAGAGAAGAAGAAGUCGGCCAAGGAAGAGAGCCAGAAGAGUUUCUUGAUGAAACUAAACCGGUCUUGGAUUUGCCGGUUUGUUCUUCAAAUGGUGAAGAAGACUUGGAACACAAGCAAGAUUCAGCUGAGGAGCCUAAAGCCAACAAUGAUGGGAUCAUAGAGGAAGAAAGAGGUAAAAGAUUGAUCGGUUAUAUGUUCUUUUUAAAAAAAAAAAAUUGAGGUUGAAUCUUGUAUGUUUUUGUUACAGAAGAUGGAAGCAGAAAAGCUGUGUUAGUGAAGGAGAUUACAGAGAUUACAGAGAGACUGAGUGCUAUUGAAUCAAAAGGUGAAUUGUUGCAGCAAAUUUCAGAAGUUUUAGAUGUUAGUGAAGGAGAAGCAAUCCUAUAUCAGAUAUCUCAAAAUCUGCAUAUGCUUCGUAGUUUCAUCGAAAUGCCAUCAGAAUCAUGAAAUCUUUUUUUACUUGCUUUCUUCUAUCAUCAGAAGAAAUACAAAACAACGUCCUUGUAUCAAAAUCUGUAUACUGAAAUUAUAUAUUACAGCAAAGCUUUUCUCUGCCUUUUUUGUUUCUUACUUCAAUUGGUUGAAUCUUUCUGAGAAUUGAUUCUGAAACUUUAACCCUGACGCCGGUUAAUUGUUUUUACUAUUUUAAAUAUGUUUUAACCCAAUUUGCUCUUUUUUUAAUGAAAAUGUCACUUGAACAAACUCAUAGAGACUCUUGACCUGACCAAAAUGUUAAUUAAACAUAACAUGUUUAGAUUCUUACCAACUAAUUCGUUUUAACCAAUGAAUUUCAGUUGAGUACUAAAAACUUCUCUGGACUUUUCCUCUUUAACUUAAAGACAUUAGCUCAAUCUUGAAACCAUAAUGUAUUUUAUGAAUAAGCAGAGAAGACAAAGAUUGUUUUAGCCCUUAAAUUUGAAAUAUUCUUACAACACAAUCAAUUAAAAACUUUAGAAAGCAGACUUAAAAAAGAGAACAAGUCAAAAGAGAUUUUUACCAAAAGACCGAGAAUAAACACUAUAUAUUACAAAACAGAGGAGGCUCUGUUUCCAUCAUCCUCAAUAGCAAUGGCUUCUCUUUUCACAUCUUUCCUUCUAACGCUCUGUCUCUUCGUGAUCCCAUCACUCUCAUCUGACCCUGACCCUUUACAAGACUUCUGCGUUGGAGAUCUCAGAGCUUCUCCUUCCAUCAACGGCUUCCCAUGCAAAUCAUCAGUCUCAGCAUCUGACUUCUUCUUCUCCGGUUUAGGCGGUCCUCUAAACACCUCAAACCCUAACGGCGUAGCCAUUUCCCCCGCUAACGUCUUAACGUUUCCGGGUCUGAACACUCUAGGAGUUUCCAUGAACAACGUUGAGUUCGCUCCUGGAGGUGUGAACCCUCCUCACUCGCACCCGCGUGCAAGCGAAGCGGGAGUUGUGAUCGAAGGUUCGGUCUUUGUAGGGUUCUUGACAACGAACAACAGUUUGUUCUCGAAGGUUAUCAAUGCUGGAGAGAUGUUUGUUGUCCCUAGAGGAUUGGUCCAUUUCCAAUGGAACGUUGGUAAAGGUAAAGCGCGUUUGAUAACCGCUUUUAACAGUCAGCUUCCAGGAGCAGUGGUUCUGCCUAGCACUUUGUUUGGUUCAGUGCCUGAGAUUCCAAACGCGGUUUUAACCAAAACGUUUAGGACGGAUGAUGCAACUGUGAACAAUCUCAAGUCCAAGUUUGCUGUUUGAGUCUUUUGAUUUAUGUUUUCUGAAAACGAUAUUUCUCAAUUGAUUCUAUAGCAAUAAUCUGAUAUGCUAAUGUAAUAAUAAUAAGUACGAAUAAUAAAAAAAAAAAAUAAUUAAACAUUAAUAAGAUUCAUCUAUUUCUAGUUUCUCUUCUCUAUUAUAAUCUUUCUUGUGAAGAUCUUCAUUUCAGCCGUUGACAUUAAUUCAGAGAACUCAUGCCUUAACAAGUUGUCUGUUUCUUUGAGAUUGUAUUUUUGAAUCUCUUAAACUAAAACUCUUGAGGCUAAGUAAAUAGUUCUGUUUCCCUGAAUAAAUCUAUUUUGAAAAAGAGUCUUAACAGUCAGAGACUCAUGUUUAUGAUCAAACCUUUCUCAAUUCAAUUUGUAAUAAUAAUUUUUUUUUUUUUAAAUCAAAGAUUUGCAGGAAGCACUUGUUUCGGGUUUUUAGAUUAUUUCUUUAUUUAGCAGUUUGAGGAGAGGAAGAGAGAUAACUAUAAAUAGAAAGGAUUCUCCAAAUAGCUAGAAAAUAGUACUAAGAACAACUCUUUUUCUUUAUAUAUAAUGGAUUCAACAAACCCAUUGCUCAAAGAGUACUCUAAUUCGAUCUGAGAUUGAGUUGGUGUAUUAGCUAUAUUAGCUUGCACCUGCAACUCGUUACCGAAAAAGUUGUCUAGUUCUUGAUCAAGAUGAUUCUGUCGAAUUUCAUGGAAUGGAAGGUUUCUUGGUCAAGAAGAAACUCAGACCAGGUGAAGUUAACCUCUGAACUCUCUUGAGCUAUGGUUGAACAAGCUGAGGAGAAUAAUGGAGGAGAUGAAUUAGAAGAAGACAAAGAGUCAUACAUAAAGUUAGAGACGGGCUUGACUUGGUUUGAUGACUCGGUCAUUGUGGGAACCGGAAUUCACACCGUCGAUUUUAAUGAAUAAGUAUGGAGGAAAACCAAGAAAACCCAAUUUUCCCCGAAGGUCCGAAUUCUCUGCGUAAUCACUUUCAGAACGUAAAAAGAUAGAUAGCAAGAUAAAGAAAAAUAGUCGCUCGGAAACGUUUUAUUAAUGAAAUAGUAUGAAUACAGGACUUCUCCGAGAGGAGUAGAGAUAUGCUAACUAGACAAAAGCAGAACAGAAAGGCGGCAAAACGUUCUAAGCCUUCCCUUGCUAGUCUAACCACCUAAGUUCUAAGUUCCCUAAGCUAGCAGGAGUUCUCUAAGUCUAAAUUCUCGGAUCCCUUUUCUUCUGCUCCAGCUCUCCUUAUAUAGUUGUUUUAGGUCGGUGGCUCAUUUACUCUUUUGUCUUUGGGCCCAAAUUUAUCUCUUUUGGGAAUAUUCUAUUUUCGUCGAUCUUUGUAGCUAUCCUCGAAUCUUGAUAUUUAUCUUCGGAAACUUAACGUUUAUCCUACUUCUGUGAGUUAGGAUAAACCGUCAUAACUUCCAUUGGGCUCGGGUCCCUUCUAAAUCGUAGAUUGGCCUCUAGACACGUUUAGAUCCUCUCGGGCCGUUUUUAGGCCUUCGAGCUUUUCUACGAUUUUAGUCGUAAAACUUCGAGAGUAACUACGAUCGAGCCGAAACGAGAGGUAUAUGAUCCAAAAGUCGGAUAUCACAACUAUACGGAGGACACGAGAGUCGAAACGAGUCGGACUGACCGGGAUUGGAUUGUCCUCGCCCUAGGGCGAGGUGAACCGGGCGCGGAUCAUCCUCGCCCAUGGGCGAGGUGACCGUGGUGCUGGUCGUCCUCGCCCAUGGGCGAGGUGACCUUGGUGAUGGUCGUCCCAUGGGCGAGGUGACCUCGGUGAUGGUCGUCCUCGCCCACGGGCGAGGUGACCUCGGUGAUGGUCGUCCUCGCCCAUGGGCGAGGCAGACAAGUGAGAACGGUCCGGUUCUCGGGUCUUGACCUGUCUCUUUUCGUACCAAUCUUUUCGGAGACCCUCGUCCAUAAGUAUUUGUAUUCUUCCGAUCUUUCUUCCAAGAAGUCUUUCGUGAAGAAUUUGCUAAAAUGAUAAUCUUAGACGUUGAUUUCGAGAUAACCGUUUUCGACCCCAACAGUUAGCCCCCCAGUAUGCAAGACUCGGAGACGAUUUUACGGGCGAGUGAAGUGUUUUUAAACGGAAUUUUCGGUUAAGGGUACGUUUUCUCGUAGAUUGUCUUUUGAGAUUAUUUUAUUGCGGAAAUCCACGUCACCCUCAUAUCCUUAUAAGUAGCAACUCAUCAAUUACCAAAUUUUCUCUCUUCAUUCUCUCAAGCAAGAAUGUCUUCCUCCCAAAACUAAAAGAAGAACUCCGACGUCGAGAUAGGUGAGGCCAGCCUGGUUCUACCGAUUCCGGCCAUUCAUGAAGCCACUCCGGCUUUCGUUGCCGGAUUCCUUUCUUUCAAAGAGAGGCUAUCCAGGCGUAGUGCCGAAAAGGAAACGAGUCGGACCUCUGCUGAAAUGUCGGCUAUCCCUUCCUCGUAUGCGCUGUCGAUCUCAGCCGAAGGAAACAAGUCUCUGAGCGAUGAUGCGCCCCUCGUAGGAAUGAAUACGGCACCUGUGCAAGUGCCGGAGGUCUUGGCCCAACCUUCGGGCUCUUCCACUACCCCGGUCUCAAUUCCUGAGAAAGGACAAGUAAUGGAGUUGAUGCCUCCACCUUUGGACAGGAAAGAGAUUGUCCUAGGGCUUCCUGCGCCUAGUGCCACUCCGCUGCCCAAAGGUCGCAAAAGGAAUGGUGCCGAAACCGAGACCGCCAAGAAGAGGAGAUCUUCCAAAGGUACGGAAGGAGAGCCUUCAGGGCCUUUACCGCAAUAUCGUGCCAAGGUUCGUUUUCGAAAAACAAAUUUUCUUGUAGGAUACUUUGUUCUUCAAUUAUUCUGACUCUUAUUUCGUUCGCAGUUCAUAUCGUUGAUCGACGGGAUGAUUAGCGACUGUGGUUCGGAGGUGGAACGUUUGACAGAGGGCGUAGCAGAGUCGCGGGAGGCGUUGAAACGAAUUGAGGCCACACUGAAAUCUACUGAGGACGUUCACGCUGCUGAGACUUCGCAGCUGGAGGUUCAGGUCAGCGGUCUCGAGCGGGAUCUCGGAAAGUCGGCAAGUGCAUUGUUUAGGAUGAAGAAAGAGAAAAAAGCCAAGGCUUCUGAAGUCCGUCGUCUUCAGCGCCAAAUCCAGAGUCAAGAGGAACCGAGGACUCGUGAGCCAGCGGGGACCGUUGUCCCGCGAGACGAGUUUCAUGCCCGCCUAACGAGGAUGGCUGUUCUGUUUGAUUCGCUCAUGGCAGUCCGUAAGAAGGAUCUGGCUCUGGCGGGCAUCGAGGGAGGUCUAGAAAUGUUGCAGGCUGGAAAUCAGGGAUGGAAAAAUGGUUGAUGGAAGCUUGAUGGAUCAACCAAAGAUAUGAUCGGAUGGGCGAUAUGAUGGAAUGCAAGUUAUGAUCCUGAAAACAAAUGCAAAAACAAAUGAGAUAUGAUUUCUAAUAUGAUAAAACAAGAUGAAUAAAGAUAGAUAGGAUGGAAUUAGGCUGCUGGUCGUGUGACACUCUCAGCCUAAUCAGUUGAUGAUUGAAGUGGAUUGAGAUGGUGCUUUGCUUGCUGGAUGUGUAUCACUCUCAAGCUUGGCAAACGAAUUGGAAUGGAAGGAUGGGGGGGAUUGGCCUGGACUCCUUCUUGAGUGUAGAAUGCAUAAAAAUUAGCCUCGUGAUUUAAACCCUCCUGGUUUGUAAGAUAUGGCAUUUUUAGUGCACGUAUGUCCUGGUUGGCGCCUUGGCUGGUUGAGUAGGGUGUUGGGUCGACCUCUGGUUCAGCUGCUGAAUUUCUGGCCUUGAUAUUGUUUCGGUUUGGGGAUGGAUUGUGCAUCAGGUGGCUCUUCUUUCAGAAAAUAGGAUAGGAUCACGCCUCUGCUUUUGACUUUGGCAUUUCUUAUCUCCUUCAGUGGAUGGUCCUUCAUACUCCUAGUAGGCUCAGUUCUGACCAUCUUUGGGUUUGAUUCUCCUAACAACAAAAGAUUAUCCGGUGGGAUUUCUUUGAAGCUUUCUCCUUUGCAACCUGAAAAAUUCUCAACAUUCUGGACAAAAAUCAAGUGUAUUAUAUCUGUGUUUGGACACUGAUAAAAAUAAUUUGAAAUUUUCAGACUUACUUUGAUAGCUUCCACAAGUUGAGGAAUGAUUUUCUUCUUUGGACAACUUGUUUUUGUUUGCAGCCUUCUUUGCAUCUUUUGACCUUGGUGGUUAUGAACUUCAACUUCUUUUAUUCCUGGAUCAAAACUUUUUGGCAAAGACAAGUGCAUUAUAUCUGGAUAAUCAAGUGUCUUGGACGUUUUAAGAUCAGAGAAGAUUACCUUAAGCCUUGGCAUGUGAACACAUUGUUCAACACUAGAAUUCCACUUGUGAGGUGGUUCAUGGCUGGGCUUAUGGUCUGGUUCUUUCCUUGGAACUUCAGUAAGCAAAUAGCUUUCAUUUUUACUCUCUACAUCAAGAACACACACGUCAAUACCAGUAUCUCUAGGUGGUGUUUGACACUUACCUUGGUUUGAUACUUUAUUUACUGGUUUUGCUUCUUUAAGCAACAUGAACUGCAUUGUGUCUUGAACCUUCUCCUGGUUCAUCACUGGUGUGGCGCCUGGUGGCUCCUCUCCUUUGAAUUCAUGCUCUUUAAUUCCUGUUACAACACAUUGGCUUGAUGCCUCUUCUUUCUUUGGGUUUGAAAUCUCAUCAUUCCUUGGACUUAAAUCAUGAACAACUUUUAAAUCCAACAAGGACUUUGAGAUCGUGUCUUUCUUGACUUCAGGACCUGUCUUAUCAUCCUUGGACAAAGACAAGUGACUCAUAACAGUGGGAGAUGAUUUAUAAACAAAUUUAUCAAGUAUAGGACUUACCUUGGCCUGCUCUUGAAAGAUCGGUUUGUCUGAUUUUUCUUUGUGUCUGGCCAACGUGUCUUGGCUGACAAGGUUCUUCUUCUCCAUGGCCUUUGGGACCUCAUAAGGUUGGUAUUUAUCAUAUAAAACCGUGGGCAUCUGGCUUGACCGAAUCUGGUCUUGAUAGAUCAAGCUUCUAUGGCCUUGUUGUGGCACAACUUUCUUUGCCUCUUUGGACACACCAUUUGAAAAUCUCCUUGGGUAUUUUCUUCUGGUUUCUUGCGUGGGAAGUGUAGUCACAUACUUCCUGAUCAUAACAUCUUUAAGAUCUUUCCAGUUGGUGACAACCUCUUCUGGACUUUUACCAUGUGUCUUAUCUACUCUUUUCCACCAUGAGUAAGCUUUUCCGGAAAGUUGCUUGAUGGCAUGAGCUAUCCUCUCCUUCUUUGGCACACCAUAGUAUGUAAACCAAUCAUCCAUGGUUCUUUCCCAUGAUAGAUAGUCAUCUGGCCAGCUACUUCCUGAAAAAGAAUAAAUUUUAACAUUAUUAGCAGAUUUAUAAUCAUGAUAAGAAUGAUUUAAGUAUUCAUGAGUAUGAGAAGUUUGGUGUUUGGUGAUCCAUGAAGGAUCUGGUGGCUUGGGCUCAACAUAGCCAGCAUCUAGUGCAUCUCCAAAUCUUCUUUCUCCUUGCUGUGGUCGUUGACCUUGUGCCUUGUUUCUUUCCUCCAGCUGAGAAAUCUGAUCUUGUACACCCUUCAUAGCAGCCAAUAGCUGUGUUUGAGAGGCCAAUAAGGCUUGACUUUGUGCUAAUUCUUCCAUUUCUUCCUGCAAGUAAUCACAAAGAUCAAGUGAAGAAUAGGGAAUUUAUGGUCGGAUCAGUAUAAGAACCAAAAUGCAAGCUAAUUAAAACUAAACCUAGAAAAUAUGCAAUGUUGAACCGAAAUGAAAUUAAUUAUGCAAAAUGAUUUUUCUUUUUGGUUUUCUUAAUGCAAAUCUCGAAAUGAAACAAUAAUAAAUGAAAAUGAACACAAAUGAAAAGAAAAUAUGGAAAGCAAACUAAUGCUGAAUUUUUUUUUUUGAAUUUUCUUUGGAUGAAAUGCAACAAUUAAAUAUGCAAAUGAUAUAAACUAAAGCUUAAAAAUAUUUUGUUUUUCUUUUCUGAUGCAAUCACGAAAUGGACAAGUAGAAAUGGUAUGAAACAAUAACUAGGAUGAUUUCUUUUGGCUUUUGAAUUUAUGAAUGCAAAUGAAAAGGAAUCAAAUUCAAAACAUAAAUUUUUAUGGGAUUUUCUUUUAUUGAAACUAAUGAAUGCAAACACUUUCUUUUGGGAUUUUUGAUUUUUAAAUGAAUCAACCAAAACUUUUUCUUUUCUUUUUCGUGGCUUUAAAGUAUGAUGAACAGAAAGAACAAAAAUAUGCAGAAACAAAACUUGAAACAAAAAGAAACAGUUUUUUUUAUGGAUUUUCGGUUUAUGAAUGGAAAAACAAAUGCAAGCAAGUAUGAGAUGCAAGGAUAGAUAUCACCUGAGUCAGGAGCUUAAGCUCUGAUACCAAAUGUUGCAGGCUGGAAAUCAGGGAUGGCAAAAUGGUUGAUGGAAGCUUGAUGGAUCGACCAAAGAUAUGAUCGGAUGGGCGAUAUAAUGGAAUGCAAGUUAUGAUCCUGAAAACAAAUGCAAAAACAAAUGAGAUAUGAUUUCUAAUAUGAUAAAACAAGAUAAAUAAAGAUAGAUAGGAUGUAAUUAGGCUGCAGGUCGUGUGACACUCUCAGCCUAAUCAGUUGAUGAUUGAAGUGGAUUGAGAUGGUGCUUUGCUUGCUGGAUGUGUAUCACUCUCAAGCUUGGCAAACGAAUUGGAAUGCAAGGAUGGGGGGGGGGUUGAGGACGCCACAAGACUCUAUGGAAAGGAGCCUUGAUAAGUCAAGGUGCUUUGGAGUUGCUUCACACAAACUCAAAAGACUUAGAACAAUAGUUUUAAGAAAACUAGAAAAACUGAAUAAUUCUUAUUACUUUAAAAAUGGGGUGCUUUACAAUGAAACAAAGACUAGAGCUUUAUAGGCUCGACUAAGGACUCUCUAACAGUCAUAAAAUGACAUAAGGAAAGAAAUAAAAUCGAAAUAAUAAACUUGGAAACAAAGGAAUUGAUGGCUCCUUAAAAACUAGCCGUUGGAGGCUUAAUGAUGAGAAUCUUGGCCAAAUGAAUGUAGAUGGUGUCCUCCUUGUAUCUGGACGGUUUGAGGGGGUAAGUGAGCUUCCUGGAAAUCUUCUUAAUGGUCUGGAAGGUGCUGAUGUCGUGCAUAGACAGAAGGAAAAAAAAGCUGUUGGAGUUUUAAUGCUUGAGACUCCAAAUAAGGCAGUUUGGUGAUAAUGGGGAUCUUCUUAUUCCUAUGUGGGCUGGUGCAUGGGAUGAAGUUGUAGAACUCUUCUGGCUCGUGUAUAAUGUCUCCUGGAUGUCUUGGUUUUGUCUGGACGUCGUCUGGUUCUCCUGGUUGGAUUGGAAUUGCUUGGAAUGGAUCAAACCGAAAGAUUGUCCAAUCUUUCCAUAAAUAGCUCCGGUUUGAUUUAAGUGAUUCUCCAUUGAACCGACUGAUCUCCUGGGUUCUGGUGCAUCUAAGGACUUCUGGAAUACCUCCUGAUUGGUUGAAAUGAUCUCCUGGUCGCCAAUUUCUGGUUUGAAGCUGAUUGAACCGGUUAGCUUCCAAUUGAGGCGAGUGUAGCACUGGUUUGACCGGUUCUGGAAAAUUGAACAUAUCUUCUGAUUUCCGUGUCCAUUUCUCCUGAUCUUUGGCUUUCUGGAAAGCUGAAAGAAUGCUCUUGAAUUUGAUGACGGGCUUUGCUUCAGGCCGCUCCUUACUUGAGCUUAAAUCUCCUUCUAAAGUCGGAUACUCGCAGAUGGACGGGCUGAGAAACCUCUGAGUUGUAAAAUUCAUAACUUCUUGCUCUGUGAAUAUUUUGGCCCAAUUCCAAUUGACCUGGACUCCUUCUUGAGUGUAGAAUCCAUAUAAAUUAGCCUCGUGAUUUAAACCCUCCUGGUUUGUAAGAUAUGGCAUUUUUAGUGCACGUAUGUCUUGGUUUGCGCCUUGGCUGGUUGAGUAGGGCUUUGGGUUGACCUCCGGUUCAGUUGCUGAUCUGAUGACCACAUAAAAGCUAAAGGGUUAUGAAAUGAAUUACCUUUCUGCAGAAGUGUUUCCAAGCAGUGCUUUCAAUAAAUGAAAGCGGCAAUUCUGCUAGCACAAUCAACUCGUUAGAUGCCUCUCUGAAAACAGCCUCCGCAACUUUUGAUGACUUCAGAUUGCCAUCAGUGUUGAUCUCUGUCUGAUUCUUUCCGUGACUGGUCAACCAUGCCUGGUAGUCUUUGCAGAUGGACAGAUGCUUCUGGAGGUUUGAUGUUCCUGAUUUGGUAGCGCAGGAGAAGAUCUUCUGACAAUAGUGGCAAAUGCAUUUGUCACGGCUUUCUUUGGUUCUGGUGUAAUGCUUCCAGACACCAGACCUUGGCACAACGAUUUUCUGCACCUUCUUUGACUGAGAAGAAACACCAGAAGUUGCAUUUCCAUCAGUGGCCUUCCCUCGGCUUUGAGUAACAUCAAAACACACGAUCAAGUCAUUAUUGUCUUAUAAACGUCAAAACACACGAUCAGUAACAUCAAAACACACGAUCAACGUCCAUUGUUUCUUCAACACUUUGUGGGAUUUUGGAGGAUGAGGCAACCAUCUGCAAGAGAAUGAGAAAAAAACUUUAGCAUCAGUAACAUCAAAACACACGAUCAAGUCAUUAUUGUCUUAUAAAAGUCUCAACUACUAGCUCAAGAAUCAAAUACAUAUAUUGUCUUAGCAUAAAGACAUUGUCUGAUAUCGUCUAAACCCAAAACAUAAGAGUACCCGCACAACAAACAUCAACAUCUACGGUAUGAAAUCAUUUCACAAGGCAUCAAGGACAUGUAAAGAACUUAUGAUCACGACUCGUGAUGCUUGAUUAAGACAAAAUAAAAAAGAAUAUUUAAUUUCCCCAAUAAUACUAUCAAAACCCGAGAACCCGAAAGCAAUAAACAUGAAGACAAUGAUCAAGUACUCUGAAAAAUUAAAAGUACCUUUGCUUGAUUACUUGAGCUCUAGGAUGGAAGAGACGAUGAUGAUAGCAGAACUCUUUAUAGGAUCUUAGAUUUAGGGUUUUGGUUUCAAAUCGCGGGAUAGAAUCGGGUAAGAUGUGUGAAAGUAGUUGAGAAUAUCGGAUAAUCAGAGUUAGGAAAUCAUUUCGGUGAGAAUAUUUUGGCAUAUCGAUAUUUAGGAAAGGAUUCAUAGAUUCUCUCCUUGAGGAUCAAGAGAAAUCAAAUCUCGAUAGGGAAAGGGGAUUAGGGUUAGUCGAUGUCCGGGUUUCGAUCGGAUGUAACCAUUCGGUCUCUCGGGUUUAAACCGAUCCGACCCGACACCCGAUAUACCAAAUUUUAAGGCCCAUUCGGUUUUUCAUGAAGAUCCGGUACCGGCCCAUAUCACUUUAAACGGACCGGGUUCGGUUCGGGUGCUCGGGUUCGGGCUUUUUGUCCAGGCCUAAACUAGACGUUAAUGUCCUACUAGUUAUGCUGUCGCCAGUACCAUAUAUCUCCCUAUAAUGUGUAUGAUAUACUUGUUUUUUUUUUGGUAUUCACCAUGCUCUGUAUAUAAAACCAGAGAUACUCAUCAAUAUUAUUAUCAAUUUCCUUUAUCCAAUGUUUAUCAAGAGUCCAAAGGUUCUAAGGUGGUGUUAUUCAAUCAUGUAUUUUAAUAGAGUUUAAAUCUAAACACAAUUCACUGUUACUCAAAUGAUGAUUCUAAAUUCUAUUUUAAAAUCUAGUGUUAUUCAGUGAAUGAUUUAAAUCCAGCUUUUAAAAUCUAGUGUUAUUCAACUUUCAAGAAUUUUAAAGUUCUUUGUAUUUUAAAUUGAUUUCAAAUAAUCUCUUAUGGAUUCUUAUGAACAAAUAAAUGAAUUCAAAAUCUGAGGUCUACUGCAGAAAUUUUAGAAUCAUCAACUUAAAACUUUAAAAUUUGAUAGAUUAUAAAACAUUAAUAACUGAUUUGAAAUCAGUAAUUGAAUAACACCCUAUUUGUCUUCUUCAUUCUUGUUUCUUCUCCCAUCUCCAACAAAUUUUGUUUUUCUCCGGUCUCAUCCAUCUCUGUUCUUUUCAUAUUCCUAUGUUACUUUCAUAUCUUCUCUUAUCCUCAAAUCACAACAAACACAAUGGGGAGAAGGAGAACUAUCAAUUAACAAAAUAUUAAACACACCAUAAAAACAGAAAAUAUCGAAUUGCUUGCAUAAACUAGUUGAUGGAGACAUUAGACAUAUCGCUCAACAACCUUAAAAAGUCAUCAAAAGUUUUCAAAUGAUUUUUUAACGGUUGACUGUUGAGUAAAAAAAAGUUGGAAAUCUAUACUAUACUAAAAGUACAAUAACUUGAAAGGAGAAGCUGUCCAACUCAGCAAAGAAAAUCAACCAAUAAAAAGCUUCCAUAUUGCCAUGUCUUUCUCGAGGACUAAAUUCUAAAAACUGCGUUUGAGCUCAAUAUAAAUUUUAAAGGCCCAGCUGACUUUCAUUUAACAAAGCUCAUAUCCAAAACACUAAUGACUCUCCUUUUCCAUUACGCCUUCUUCGAUUCCUCUCUAUCCAAUCUCCGUUAUUAAGCCAUCUGCUAUCAAUCAAUGGUGUUCUUCAUUACCCUUUUAAUGAAUUCGUUUCACCGUAUCAUUUUUUGUCUCAUUAGGGUAAACGUUUUGUUUUCCUUCCGUUAAGUAAAUUUCUUCCUUCUUCACUUAGUUAAGGUUUUCUUCACCAUAAAUUUCACAACCACACCCUUCAGUUUCAGAUGAAUUAAAACUGCGAAAAUCACUGUUUUGUUGUAGAGGCUUACAAACCCCGCCUAUCAGAGUGAUUGAUCUACCCAACUUUCUAACUAAUCAGAUUAGAAAUGAAUGACCUAUGAAAGUGUUUAACCUCAAACACA